rnacentral:rRNA from 1 species
UACGGAGGGGGCUAGCGUUGUUCGGAAUUAUUGGGCGUAAAGCGCGCGCAGGCGGUCCUUUAAGUCUGAUGUGAAAGCCCACGGCUCAACCGUGGAGGGUCAUUGGAAACUGGGGGACUUGAGUGCAGAAGAGGAGAGUGGAAUUCCACGUGUAGCGGUGAAAUGCGUAGAGAUGUGGAGGAACACCAGUGGCGAAGGCGGCUCACUGGACUGGUAUUGACGCUGAGGUGCGAAAGCGUGGGGAGCAAACAGG